rnacentral:rRNA from 1 species
AAACCUAGCCCAACCAAUCAUGAAUUUUAUUAAACCAACUAAUUUAUACUAAUUAAACCAUUUUAAUAUUCUAGUAAAGGAGAUUGAAAAACUAUCUUGGAGCUAUAACAGUAGUACCGCAAGGGAACGGUGAAAUAUUAAAUGAAAAAUUUUUAAGCAAUAAAAAGUAAAGACCACCCCUUGUACCUUUUGCAUCAUGGCUUGACUAGUUUAAUCAAGCAAAACGUAUUUUAGUUUGACACCCCGAAACUAAGUGAGCUACUUCAGGGCAGCUAAAAGAGCGAACCCGUCUCUGUUGCAAAAGAGUGGGAUGACCCUCAAGUAGCGGUGAUAGACCUAACGAACUUAGUGAUAGCUGGUUACUCAAGAAACGGAUCUAAGUCCAACCUAAAAGUCUACAAAUCUAGUCUAUUAAAACAGCUACCUAAAUUUUUAGCGUAAUUCAAAUAAGGUACAGCCUAUUUGAAACAGGAUACAACCAAGACCAGAGGAUAAGAUUAGCCUAAUACACAACCAAGUGGGCCUAAAAGCAGCCAUCUUUAAAAUAGCGUCAAAGCUUAAUUGUUAUCACGCCUAAUCCCUAAACUACAAUCUAAUCCCCCAUCAAUACUGAGUAAUUCUAUAAUAAUAUAGAAAAUUUUAUGUUAAGACUAGUAACAAGAAGAAGAUUCUUCUCUUAAAUGUAAGUGUAAAUCAGAAAGGACAAGCCGCUGAUAUUUAGCACCAUUGAGCCUAAAGUAAUAACAAAUCAAGAAAACUUUACUCUUACUUAUGUUAACCUUACACAAGAACAUUUUAAGAAAGAUUAAAAGAAAAAGAAGGAACUCGGCAAAUAUUAACCUCGCCUGUUUACCAAAAACAUCGCCUCCUGUAUAACUCAUAAGAGGUCCAGCCUGCCCAGUGACCCUGUUCAACGGCCGCGGUAUCCUAACCGUGCGAAGGUAGCGUAAUCACUUGUUCUCUAAUUGUGGACUAGUAUGAACGGCACCACGAAGGUUAUACUGUCUCCUUUUUCUAAUCAGUGAAACUAAUCUCCCCGUGAAGAAGCGGGGAUAAAAAUAUAAGACGAGAAGACCCUAUGGAGCUUUAAACAGCAUAGCAAUUGUUACAUUAACAUAAAACUUUUCUGAAUAAUUAAAAUUUUAUUAGACAAUUUGACUAUGAGUUUUUGGUUGGGGUGACCGCGGAGCAUAACACAACCUCCAUGCUGAAAGAACCUUCUUCUAAGCUAAGAACUACCCAUCUAAGCAUCAACACAUUGACAUUCAUUGACCCAAUACACUUGAUCAACGAACCAAGUUACCCUAGGGAUAACAGCGCAAUCCACUUCAAGAGCUCCUAUCGACAAGUGGGUUUACGACCUCGAUGUUGGAUCAGGGUAUCCCAGUGGUGCAGCCGCUACUAAAGGUUCGUU